AGUUGUGGCCAUAUCACCCUGAACACACUCGAACUCAUCUGAUCUCAGAAGCUAAGCAAAGUUGGGUCUGGUUACUACUUCAUUGGGAGAUUGCCUAGGAAUACUGGGUGCUGUAAAGA
rnacentral:rRNA from 1 species